rnacentral:tRNA from 1 species
GGCUCUAUAGUGUAGUGGCUAUCACCUCGGAUUCUGACGUCUGUUCAAUUUCCGGUAACGGCGGUUCGAUCCCGCCUAGGGCCU